rnacentral:rRNA from 1 species
GGUGUAUAGUUAAUAGCAUUACACUGUGACGUUAGCUACAGAAGAAGCACCGGCAAACUCCGUGCCAGCAGCCGCGGUAAUACGGAGGGUGCGAGCGUUAAUCGGAAUUACUGGGCGUAAAGCGCGCGUAGGCGGUUAUUUAAGUGAGGUGUGAAAUCCCUGGGCUCAACCUAGGAACUGCAUUUCAAACUGGAUAACUUGAGUAUGUCAGAGGGUAUUGGAAUUUCCCCGUGUAGCAGUGAAAUGCGUAGAUAUGGGAAGGAACAUCAGUGGCGAAGGCGAAUACCUGGGAUAAUACUGACGCUGAGGUGCGAAAGCGUGGGGAGCAAACGGGAUUAGAUACCCCUGGUAG